rnacentral:pre_miRNA from 1 species
AUAACUGGGGGCCAGACUGUACUGAACUUUAAAAGUUAUUGAGAUAAUAUUAAAUAUCAGUUCUUAACUUAACUGGCAGCCACGGU